rnacentral:rRNA from 1 species
UACGAAGGGUGCGAGCGUUAUUCGGAAUGAUUGGGCGUAAAGGGUGCGCAGGCGGUGCGUUAAGUCAGUUGUCAAAUUUCUCGGCCUAACCGGGAGUCGGCAGCAGAUACUGGCGCGCUUGAGGGUGGAAGAGAGAAGUGGAAUUCUCGGAGUAGCGGUAAAAUGCGUAGAUCUCGAGAGGAACACCGAUGGCGAAGGCAGCUUCUUGGUCCAUUUCUGACGCUCAUGCACGAAAGCGUGGGGAGCAAACAGG